GCCGAUGUAGCUCAGUUGGAAGAGCAGCGGUUUUGUAAACCGCAGGUCGUAGGUUCGAAUCCUAUCAUCGGCU
rnacentral:tRNA from 1 species